CCUCUUUAUCUCAUUCACUCACUCUUCUAUCUCUUUAUCUCAUUCACUCACUCCUCUUUAUCUCAUUCACUCACUCUUCUAUCUCUUUAUCUCAUUCACUCACUCUUCUAUCUCUUUAUCUCAGUCACUCACUCUUCUACCUCUUUAUCUCAUUCACUCACUCCUCUUUAUCUCAUUCACUCACUGUUCUAUCUCUUUAUCUCAUUCACUCACUCCUCUUUAUCUCAGUCACUCACUCUUCUAUCUCUUUAUCUCAUUCACUCACUCUUCUAUCUCUUUAUCUCAUUCACUCACUCUUCUAUCUCUUUAUCUCAUUCACUCACUCCUCUUUAUCUCAUUCACUCACUCUUCUAUCUCUUUAUCUCAUUCACUCACUCCUCUUUAUCUCAUUCACUCACUCUUCUAUCUCAUUCACUCACUCUUCUAUCUCUUUAUCUCAAUCACUCACUCUUCUAUCUCUUUAUCUCAGUCACUCACUCUUCUAUCUCUUUAUCUCAUUCACUCACUCUUCUAUCUCAUUCACUCACUCUUCUAUCUCUUUAUCUCAAUCACUCACUCUUCUAUCUCUUUAUCUCAGUCACUCACUCUUCUAUCUCUUUAUCUCAUUCACUCACUCUUCUAUCUCAUUCACUCACUCUUCUAUCUCUUUAUCUCAUUCACUCACUCUUCUAUCUCUUUAUCUCAUUCACUCACUCUUCUAUCUCAUUCACUCACUCUUCUAUCUCUUUAUCUCAAUCACUCACUCUUCUAUCUCUUUAUCUCAGUCACUCACUCUUCUAUCUCUUUAUCUCAUUCACUCACUCUUCUAUCUCAUUCACUCACUCUUCUAUCUCUUUAUCUCAAUCACUCACUCUUCUACCUCUUUAUCUCAGUCACUCACUCUUCUAUCUCUUUAUCUCAUUCACUCACUCUUCUACCUCUUUAUCUCAUUCACUCACUCUUCUAUCUCUUUAUCUCAUUCACUCACUCUUCUAUCUCUUUAUCUCAGUCACUCACUCGUUCAGGUUUGGGCUCUUUACAUCUGAUGCAUUAGGGUAUAUUUGAUCAUUGUAGUGUAUUCAGUUGAUAUUAUUUACACUUGUACUUCUCAUUUUUUUUUGACCUUGCAUUCAGUUUUUCUUUGGUGACAUAGCGCCCUAGUGUAGGUACUGCUUGGUGACAUAGUGCCCUAGUGUAGGUACUGCUUGGUGACAUAGUGCCCUAGUGUAGGUACUGCUUGGUGACAUAGUGCCC
rnacentral:lncRNA from 1 species